rnacentral:rRNA from 1 species
AACGAACGCUGGCGGCAUGCCUAACACAUGCAAGUCGAACGAGACCUUCGGGUCUAGUGGCGCAAGGGUGCGUAACGCGUGGGAACCUGCCCUUAGGUUCGGAAUAACUCCCCGAAAGGGGUGCUAAUACCGGAUAAUGUCUUCGGACCAAAGAUUUAUCGCCUUUGUGUGGGCCCGCGUUGGUUUAGCUAGUUGGUAGGGUAAAAGCCUACCAAGGCGACGAUCCAUAGCUGGUCUGAGAGGAGGAUCAGCCACACUGGGACUGAGACACGACCCAGACUCCUACGGGAGGCAGCAGUGGGGAAUAUUGGACAAUGGGCGAGAGCCUGAUCCAGCAAUGCCGCGUGAGUGAUGAAGGCCUUAGGGUUGUAAAGCUCUUUUACCCGGGAUGAUAAUGACAGUACCGGGAGAAUAAGCUCCGGCUAACUCCGUG